CCUACGGGCGGCAGCAGUGAGGAAUAUUGGUCAAUGGGCGCGAGCCUGAACCAGCCAAGCAGCGUGAAGGAUGACUGCCCUAUGGGUUGUAAACUUCUUUUAUAAGGGAAUAAAGUGAGGCACGUGUGCCUUUUUGUAUGUACUUUACGAAUAAGGAUCGGCUAACUCCGUGCCAGCAGCCGCGGUAAUACGGAGGAUCCGAGCGUUAUCCGGAUUUAUUGGGUUUAAAGGGAGCGUAGAGGGGUUGUUAAGUUAGUUGUGAAAGUCUGGGGCUCAACCGUAAAAUUGCAAUUGAUACUGGCAGCCUUGAGUACAGUUGAGGUAGGCGGAAUUCGUGGUGUAGCGGUGAAAUGCUUAGAGAUCACGAAGAACUCCGAUUGCGAAGGCAGCUUACUAAGCUGCCACUGACGUUGAGGCUCGAAAGUGUGGGUAUCAAACAGGAUUAGAUACCCGUGUAGUC
rnacentral:rRNA from 1 species